rnacentral:rRNA from 1 species
UACGUAGGUGACAAGCGUUGUCCGGAUUUACUGGGCGUAAAGAGCGCGCAGGCGGUCGAUCAAGUCGAGUGUGAAAGCCCCCGGCUCAACUGGGGAGGGUCAUUCGAUACUGAUCGACUCGAAGGCAGGAGAGGGUAGUGGAAUUCCCGGUGUAGUGGUGAAAUGCGUAGAUAUCGGGAGGAACAUCUGUGGCGAAGGCGGCCAUCUGGACCAGCACUGACACUGAGGCACGAAAGCGUGGGGAGCAAACAGG